rnacentral:lncRNA from 1 species
UACACGUAAACAAUUUUUACAAGACUAAGAAGAAGAUAUUUCUAAUAUUUUACUCUCUAAAUUAGUAGCUUACUCCUUCAAACUUCAUCAUCUUCUAUCCUCUAGACCUUGUGGUUGGAUGGUUUGUCAUAUCUUAAGAAGGAUUUUUCUUUCGAUAUGAAUGAUUCUCAAUGACAACAGUCGUUGUUGUUCUUUUCCUCAGGAAUCAAAUACGAAAAGCAAACACCAAGCAAUAGCAAAAUAAAUUGUAUAUUUACAAGUAAAUAAAGAAGU